rnacentral:misc_RNA from 1 species
GAAGGGUCAGUCAUUGACAAG